AUAAAUCAUUUUUGAAAGAAAAAUCUGUUCUUAUCAGUUUAAUAUCUGAUACGUCCCCUAUCCGGGGACUUCAUAUUAAAUGGAUUUUUGAAUCACGGAGCCGGAGCCGGGGCUUGCUCCGUCCACUCGACGCAUCGGCCUGGUAUUGCUGUGUCUCCAGAAACGGUGUGCUUCCC
rnacentral:snRNA from 1 species